rnacentral:rRNA from 1 species
UCAAGUGACUAAGAGCAUGUGGUGGAUGCCUUGGCAAUGAUAGGCGACGAAAGACGUGAAAGCCUGCGAUAAGCUUCGGGGAGCUGGCAAAUAAGCUUUGAUCCGGAGAUUUCUGAAUGGGGAAACCCACCCUUAGGGGUAUCGCAUGAUGAAUACAUAGUCAUGCGAGGCGAACCGGGUGAACUGAAACAUCUCAGUAGCUCGAGGAAAAGACAUCAACCGAGAUUCCGAAAGUAGUGGCGAGCGAAAUCGGAAGAGCCUGUUAGUGAUAGCACACUUGUUAGCAAAGCGGCAUGGAAAGGCCGACCAUAGUGGGUGAUAGUCCCGUAUGCGAAAACAAAUGUGUGGUACUGAGCUAACGACAAGUAGGGCGGGACACGAGAAAUCCUGUCUGAAUAUGGGGGGACCAUCCUCCAAGGCUAAAUACUCAUCAUUGACCGAUAGUGAACAAGUACCGUGAGGGAAAGGCGAAAAGAACCCCGGGAGGGGAGUGAAAUAGAUCCUGAAACCGCAUGCUUACAAAAAGUAGGAGCCUCGUAAGGGGUGACUGCGUACCUUUUGUAUAAUGGGUCAGCGACUUACAUUCAGUGGCAAGGUUAACCGAAUAGGGAAGCCGUAGAGAAAUCGAGUCCGAAUAGGGCGAUCAGUCGCUGGGUGUAGACCCGAAACCAAGUGAUCUAUCCAUGGGCAGGAUGAAGGUGCCGUAACAGGUACUGGAGGUCCGAACCGACUAAUGUUGCAAAAUUAGCGGAUGACCUGUGGAUAGGGGUGAAAGGCUAAACAAACUUGGAAAUAGCUGGUUCUCUCCGAAAACUAUUUAGGUAGUGCCUCAAGUAUUACCGUCGGGGGUAGAGCACUGUUUUGGCUAGGGGGUCAUGGCGACUUACCAAACCAAGGCAAACUCCGAAUACCGACGAGUACAGCUUGGGAGACAGAGCACCGGGUGCUAACGUCCGGACUCAAGAGGGAAACAACCCAGACCGCCAGCUAAGGUCCCUAAAAUUGGCUAAGUGGGAAACGAAGUGGGAAGGCUAAAACAGUCAGGAUGUUGGCUUAGAAGCAGCCAUCAUUUAAAGAAAGCGUAAUAGCUCACUGAUCGAGUCGUCCUGCGCGGAAGAUGUAACGGGGCUAAGCCAGUUACCGAAGCUGCGGAUUUGCAAUUUAUUGCAAGUGGUAGGAGAGCGUUCUGUAGGCCUGUGAAGGUGUGUUGUAAAGCAUGCUGGAGGUAUCAGAAGUGCGAAUGCUGACAUGAGUAGCGUUAAAGGGGGUGAAAAGCCCCCUCGCCGUAAGCGCAAGGUUUUCUACGCAACGUUCAUCGGCGUAGAGUGAGUCGGCCCCUAAGGCGAGGCAGAGAUGCGUAGCUGAUGGGAAACAGGUCAAUAUUCCUGUACCGAUGACAAGUGCGAUGUGGGGACGGAGAAGGUUAGCUCAGCCAACUGUUGGAUAUGUUGGUUCAAGCCUGUAGUCGUGCCUGGUAGGCAAAUCCGCCGGGCUUAGAUGAGGGGUGAUAACGAGGAAGCUUGCUUCCGAAGUGAGUGAUACCCUGCUUCCAGGAAAAGCCACUAAGCUUCAGCUACACACGACCGUACCGCAAACCGACACUGGUGCGCGAGAUGAGUAUUCUAAGGCGCUUGAGAGAACUCAGGAGAAGGAACUCGGCAAAUUGAUACCGUAACUUCGGGAGAAGGUAUGCCCCAAGUAGGUGAACUCGAACAGAGGGAGCCCAACGGGGUUGCAAAAAAUCGGUGGCUGCGACUGUUUAAUAAAAACACAGCACUCUGCAAACACGAAAGUGGACGUAUAGGGUGUGACGCCUGCCCGGUGCUGGAAGAUUAAAUGAUGGGGUGCAAGCUCUUGAUUGAAGUCCCAGUAAACGGCGGCCGUAACUAUAACGGUCCUAAGGUAGCGAAAUUCCUUGUCGGGUAAGUUCCGACCUGCACGA